rnacentral:ncRNA from 1 species
UAAAAGAAUUUUUACUUUUUUUUUCUAAAAAAAAAUUUUUUGUAUACAAAUUUUUGUGUUAGAUUUUUAAUUUUAGAUAGAAUAAUUUAUUAUAGUGUGUAGUAAAAAGAAGUUAUUUUUUUUUAACAAUUAAGAUUUAAAGAUUUUGUAAGUAUAAACAAAUUUUGUGCCAGCAGUUGCGGUUAUACAAAAUAUGCAUUAGAAAAUUAUUAAUUUUAGUUAAUAUAAAUUUUAAAUUUAAGUUAAUUUUUAGUAAGUGAAAUUUUAAAAAUUUUUUUAUUUUAUUUAUGAUGCUAGGAAAUUUUUUUUUAGACUAGGAUUAGAUACCCUAUUAUUAAAAAUGUAGUUAUUAAAAUUGUAUUAGUAUUAGUUAAGGUCUUGAAAAUUAAAAAAAUGGCGGUAUUUUAGUCUAUUUAGAGGAACCUGCUUUUUAAUUUGAUAGUCCACAAUUUUAGUAUACUUAAGUUUUAAGUUUAUAUAUCGUUGUAGAUUGAAUAUUUUUAUUGAAUUUUUAAUAUUCAAGAUUUUUAGUUAAAGAAAGACAAAUCAAGAUAUAGUUUAUAUUUAAGUAAUAGUGGGUUACAAUAAAAGUAUUUAUGGAUUUUUAUAUUUAGGAUAAAAUUAAAUUGGAUUUAAUAGUAAUUUUUAAUAGAUAUUAAAAAUGAUUUUAGCUCUUAAAUAUGUACAUAUCGCCCGUCGCUUUCAUUUAAGGUGAAAUAAGUCGUAACAUAGUAGAUGUACUGGAAAGUGUAUCUAGAUUGAC